CUGUCACCUUAAAACGUCUGUCACACUCAGGGCAAAGCCAGCCUUUGACAGCUCCAGACAAUUGGAAAGACAAGAUCUUUCCAAUCCCCCUUAUCUUUCCUCUCUCUCCCCACAUGAUCCUUGGAGGGACCAGAGGAGAGAUUAGCAAGCUAGUGGAGGAGCAAAUACACCAAACCCACAGGAUCCUGGCAGCAGGCCCUAGCGGGAAGAAGGGAGAAGAUGUAAGUAAUGAAUUACAGUGACCACAGGACCUUUUAUUACCUAAUAGUGAUUAGAAUACUCAUGGGUCUGCCCAUAUUCUCAUUCUAGAGCAAGGAACAGAUUGCACGCAAUGAAUAGGUUUAAAGGGAAACAGGAGACAAAGUUGCUUUUAGAAGAAUCCUGCUUGUUCAACGUAUUGGGCACAUUAUUAUUACUUAUCUAGCACUAACCAUGUGCUAAGCACUGUAUAUUCUCCAAAUAACUCACAGAGGCAGCUCCGCACCAGACCUCUGACUUCUGUGCCUUAGAUGGUCAGGCCUCUCAUCUGUAACCCAACAUGCGAUCCUAGCAGAAUCCAGUCAAAGGCAAGAUUGACUAGAGGAAUCCUUCCUGAAUUCUGGCAGCCCUGAUUCACCUCGGAGUUAAUUAUCUCUAAUAUGCUGUACAAUUCCCUCUGUACCUUUUAUCACGUGGAGUGGAGGCAUAAUUUAGCCAAAUGUAUCAUUUGAGACUUUUUUUUACCAAAAGAAAAUGAUUGUGUGUGUGCCUUAUAAAAAUAUUCAUUGUUUAUUCACGAGAUGUUUAUCGAGGCCACGCCUCUGUGCCAAGCGUGGCGCUGGGUCCCUUCUAAUUUCUCCCCAGGUUAACUUCUCACAGGGCUAUCAGGGCAGUAGUCUUAUCCCCAUUUGACAGAUGAAAACACGAAGUUCAGAGUGAAGAGAGAGGUUCAAAUCUUUCGUCCCCACCCCUACCUGCUUGGACGCCACGUGUCUACACAGAGUUGUGUCCCUCCAUCACGGCAAUUCCCAAUAGACUCCAAUAAACGGUUUCUUCCCUGUGUCCUCUCCACCCUAGCCUGGUCCCUGCUUCCCUCUGUUGCCUCACGUCCCUGGCGUGUCCCCUCACCCUCUCUGCACCUCUGUAUGUGGUCCCUUAAUGGAGGUCUCUUCAUCAGAACCCCGUGCGGUGGAUGGCUUUCCUCCAGGACGGGGAUGGAGCCACUUGUCCAAGAGCAUGCAGCUGAUAACAGAGUGGUGGCUCUGAGAUUCCACACUCUCCAUCUGUCCACUGUCUCUGUCAUCCUUCCCUCCCACCCCUGUUAUCCUGAGAAGCUUAUUUUUUUGAGGAUAAGACAAAGAGAGCUGCAUUGUAUCUUCGAAUGUCUCUGCGUUUCUGACAGGACGUUAGAAGGCAGGCCUUUGUGGAAUCCAGUGAGAACAUGUGCGUUUCACUUCCAAACCUCUAUUCAAGUUAACCCAACUGAAAUCAAUCACCUGAUUCCUUUUGAAAGAAUCUUGUCCAGCUGAAGAUUCAAAGAUGACCAUGGUGAGCUGUGUUAAGCUUCCCAGGGACGCCAUAACGUAAUACAUACAAUGGGCGCUUAAAAGCCAGAAGUCCAAAGUCACGGUGUCAGCAGGGCCAUGUUCCCUCUGAGGCUCUGGGUAGAAUCCUUCCUGGCCUCUUACUAGCUUCUGGUGGUGGCUGGCAAUCUUUGGUGUCCCUUGGCUCGCAGCUGCAUCACUCCAACCUCUGCCUCCAUCAUCACAUGGCCUCCUCCUCUCUGGGUCCAUGUGUCUUCUCUUCUUCUUAUAGAGCACCAGUCCUGUUGUGCCUAGGGCCCACCCCAUUCCAGUUUGACCUCAUCUUUACUAAUCAUAUCUUCAACAGCCCUAUUUCCCAACAAGGUCACUUUCUAAGGUAUUGGGUGGGGGUCAGGACUUGAACAUGUCUUUUUGGGGGACACAAUUUAACCUGUAACAGAGCUAUCACUGAAGACUGGGGAUCAACUUGGUGGGGGUCUGACUGCCGCUCGGAGACUGGUUUAGCAACAAAGAUUUAAGAAAAGAAAACAAUCCGGAGCUGCAGUAAACAUUUAAGGGCAGCAUUUUCUUUUUUUUUUUAAUGACCAUAGGAAAUGUUUACACACAUCGGCUGUCAUCAACUCAUGUUCCCAUGUGGAGUGACGAGGAUAGUGGGAUGGAGACUUAGAGAAGCGGCAGUUGGACAGAUUGUCGUGUUCACAGAACUAUUGGGACCUGCGGAUGCAUUCAGUGUGUGCACAUGUGUGUUCGUGACUGGGGGAUGAUGUAGG
rnacentral:lncRNA from 1 species